UACGUAGGGGGCAAGCGUUGUCCGGAUUUAUUGGGCGUAAAGAGCGUGUAGGCGGCCAGACAAGUCUGCUGUGAAAACUCGAGGCUCAACCUCGAGCUGUCGGUGGAAACUGUCUGGCUAGAGUCCGGAAGAGGAGAGUGGAAUUCCUGGUGUAGCGGUGAAAUGCGUAGAUAUCUGGAGGAACACCGGUGGCGAAGGCGGCAUCCUGGACCGGUAUUGACACUGAGGCGCGAAAGCCAGGGGAGCAAACGGG
rnacentral:rRNA from 1 species